rnacentral:rRNA from 1 species
UACGUAGGUGGCAAGCGUUGUCCGGAUUUAUUGGGUUUAAAGGGUGCGUAGGCGGUCUAUUAAGUCAGUGGUGAAAUAUGGCAGCUCAACUGUCAGGGUGCCAUUGAUACUGCAGAGCUUGAGUACAGAUGAGGUAGGCGGAAUUGACGGUGUAGCGGUGAAAUGCUUAGAUAUCGUCAAGAACACCGAUAGCGAAGGCAGCUUACUGGGCUGUAACUGACGCUGAGGCACGAAAGUGUGGGGAUCAAACAGG